AAAGAUAUAAAGACAAAGACUCAUACUGACUUCGGUUACACCAUCAAAGCUUUGAGAAUAAAUAAGAAGCUUGGUUAGUGUUUUGGAGGCGAAUAUAACUUGAUGUCAUGUGUAUGAUUGAGUAUAAGAACUUAAACUGCAACUGGAUCUUAAAGGCCUAAGUAGUGUUUCCUUGUUAGAAGAUACAAAGCCGAAGACUCAUACGGAGUUUAGCUA
rnacentral:sRNA from 1 species